rnacentral:lncRNA from 1 species
AUUUUAGCGUUACAGAAGCUAGCGUUUGGGGUAUUAAGUAUUUUAAAGAGAAUUUUAAUAGAUUGGUUCAAGUGAAGACCAAGGUUGAUCCAGAUAACCUUUUUAGGCAUGCACAGAGUAUUCCACCUCUUCGUGUUUCUUAGACAAAAAAAGGAAAGUCAAGAGGUGGACUUCAGGCCCAGGAUUAUGUAUUGUUUGGGUUUAAGUGAAAGAGGAAUAAUAAUUUAUAUACACAAAUUUAUGUAUAUUAUAUUAUAUUGAAAGGUUAAUGUCACACCCACUCUAGCGGACAAUUCCUCUGGUGAUUGGAGUCGAACAUGACAGUUAAUUUAAGAAAUAAUCUGAUUUUAUUAUAUUUGUCCUCUAGCUUUUUUUUUUUUUUUUUUUUUUUUUUUUUUUUUUUUCCAGUUAGUGCUUCUCUUUGAGAUUCCUUUUCAAUGGCUAUCUGAAAAUCUGCAAAUUGCAAGCAAUAUAAAGAAGGAAAUUACUUGCUUAGACCGGGUUAAACAGUCAAAGGAGAUAAAUAAAAAGAUCAUUCAUGUUUAUUUGAAACAUAAAUAAAGCCACGUGCCUUACGCAUUAGGCAAUCAAUUAUGGCAUUAGGAAAGAAAUAAUGAUGGUGAUGGGAUAAGGAAUAAUUUAAUUAAUAGAUAAUUGUAUUUAUUAAAAAUAAAAGAAGCAAAUAAUAAAUUGGAUCAAAAUUUAGGAACUUUAGCGGUACUGUGCCUUAAAAUAAACUAAGCUUCCUUAAAAUCAACAUUUGCCCGUUAUAUGCAUAUUAUAUGACGAUAGAUAACUCUAGCUAGAGUAUGAGCUCCUAUAUUAGCUUGCCUACAAACCCAACGAACCUCAAAAAAUCAGGGCGAAGUCCUAGUAAAUAGAGACAAUCCGAAAUUACAAGACCAAAAAAAGAGAAAUCUAGAGCACUAGAGUUGAGUGCAAAAAUAACAAGUUGCGAGUCCACAUAAAAACAUCCUGGAUUGUGGAAGAAGUUCACAGCAAAAAAUAGGCCUUGACGAAGAGCAAUCGCCUCAACUAUGGCCGAGUCCGUUGUACCUUCAUAGUAUCCUGAAAUAGCUUUCAAAAAAAUACCUUCAUCAUCUUCAAAUGUAAUACCAUAUCCAGACACUUUUGAUGCAGCAAAAAUGGCGCCAUCUAUAUGUCCAUGCCAAUUUUUUGCAUGAGUAGGAUCUUGCAAAUUGAUGACUAGACUUGGGCUUUGGAGAGUGGUGGGGACUUGUGCUAAUGUUGGUGUAGAUAAAGUUGAUGCAGAGAGAAGGUGAAUCAUUACUGCACUAUUUGACCCUUUGAACUUUAAAUUGCCACUAGGAUUGGGCUGAUGUAUCAAAGCCACUUGAGUAUGCCUCUGAGCUGUAGUGAAUUCUUGCAUGGAGUGCAUGGCUCGCGUGUAGACUUGAAUGGGAGUUAAGUGAACAUUUUCCAAAAGCCGUUUGUUUCUCAUGUGCCAAAUACCCCAUAGAAUAUUAGCAAAUUUAGUAAGUUUAGGAGUUUCAUUAUUUUGUAUUACCUGCAUAAAAAAAUCUUUAAAAGCAAUGUUAGUGUUGGGCACAAGAAAGCCUCCUAGAUUCCAGACUCUUUUAGCAAAGUGGCAAUUGAUUAUAGCAUGAUCAAUAUUGUAACGGCCCAACCCAUGUGUGAUAUUGUCCGCUCUGGGCCCUACGGCCCGCACGGUUUUGUUCUUGGUGAAAUGGCUGGAGAGUUGGAAGAACUCUAGGGUUAAGCGUGCUCGCUUAACGGAAAUCCCAAGAUGGGUGACCUCCUGGGAAGUUUCCCAUUUCACCUGCGGGACAAAACCGUGCGGGUCUUGCCAUCUUGUAUGGGCGGUUUGGCUUUAUACCAAGAGGNNNNNNNNNNNNNNNNNNNNNNNNNNNNNNNNNNNNNNNNNNNNNNNNNNNNNNNNNNNNNNNNNNNNNNNNNNNNNNNNNNNNNNNNNNNNNCUGGGGGGGGGGGGGUGAGCGGUGGCUGUAGUGACAGUGCACUCACCUUAGGCGAAUCCCACAUCAGUUAAGUGCGAGAGGGAGGUGAUGUACUUAAGGUGGGCGGUUUAAAGCAUGUGUGAGGCCUUUUGGUGGUGAAAUGGCUGGAGAGUUGGAAGAACCCCAGGGUUAAGCGUGCUCGCUUAACGGAAAUCUCAGGAUGGGUGACCUCCUGGGAAGUUUCCCAUUUCACCUGUGGGACAAAACCGUGCGGGUCUUGCCAUCUUGUAUGGGCGAUUUGGCUUGAUCCAAAGCGGACAAUUCCUCUGGUGAUUAGAGUCGGGCGUGACAAAACAUAAAGGACAUCCUUCAGUAACAUUAACCCCCCUAUUCUUAAGUCUCUCUCUUGUUGGUAAGACCCCUCUAAGAACUCUCCAAAUUAAGUCUUUAAUCUUAGGUUGCAUUUCAAUAUCCCACACUGUCUUCCACCAUGACCCAAAUUCACCAACCCUCAUCCCAAAAAUCUCGCAAGUCACUUUGUAACCUGACUUGACAGUAUAUACCCCUUUCCUAUCAAAAUGCCACACUCGCACAUCCUCUCUAUCUCUAAUGCUAAGGGGUAUAUUAAGGAUUUGAUGACUCUCUUCCACACUAAAUAAACUAAUGAUUUUUCCAACAUCCCAUUUUCUCUCCCCACUCACAAAUAAAUCUUUAACUCUCAAACCCUCAUCUAUAAAUCCUUGCCAACCCACUACCCUAAAUGGAGCCUCUUUUGGUAACCAUGGAUCAUGAACCACCCUAAUUUUAUCCCCAUUGCCAACUCUCCACCGUACACCAUGUUUCAACACCGUGCUAGCUGACCAUAUACCUUUCCACACAAAGCUAGGAUUCUUACCCAAAGGUGCUUCCAAAAAAUCCUUUCUUCUAAAAUAUUUUGCCUUGAAAACUUUAUAGAAAAGGGUGUUCUCAUAGUUUAGCAAACGCCACCCUUGCUUGGCAAGCAUAGCAAUGUUAAAACAUCUAAUAUUUUUGAAACCCAUACCUCCUUUAUCUUUUCUGCCACACAUUCUUUCCCAACUCAACCAGUGAAUUCCUUUUCCUACUUCCUGCUUUCCUCGCCACCAAAAUCGAUUCAUCAUCUUAUGGAUUUCAUUACAAAAUGUCAAGGGCAAUUCAAAAACACUCAUACAGUAGGAUGGAAUAGCUUGAAGCACUGAUUUGAUAAGCACUUCUUUACCAGCUUUGGAAAGAAAAUGAUUUGACCAACUGUUCAUCUUUUUCCACAUUCUGUCCUUUAGAAAGCCAAAAAUAUGUCUCUUGUUACGUCCAAUAACUGAAGGAAAACCAAGGUAUAGAAUAUCCUCCCCUGAUGUUGUGACCCCCAGUAACUGUUCAAUCUGCCUUCUCAUAGUCACAUCUGUAUUAGGGCUAAAAACCAUACCAGAUUUUUGGAAAUUGAGAGCUUGUCCUGAUGCUUUCUCAUACUUCUGAAGAAUUUCUUUUACUUUUGUUGCUUCACUAGUAGUAGCUUUAAAAAAGAAGAGUGAAUCAUCUGCAAAAAGCAAAUGAGAAAUGCAAGGGCAACUUCUACCUGCCUGGCCCCCAUGAAUCCAGCCUUUUCUCUCAGCUUCAUCAAAUAAAGUAGUGAGUCCUUCCUCACAUAACAGAAAGAGAUAGGCUAAAAUCGGGUCACCCUAUCGUAACCCUCUACUAGCCAAAAUUGGGCCCAUAAUCUCUCCAUUAACAAUAACAGAAUAAUUUAUUCCACAAAGACACAUUUCAUCCACUCUAUCCAUUUUUCUGAGAAACCCAAUUUAAGCAUAACAGCCCACAAGAAAUUCCAAUCACCCCGGUCAUAAGCCUUACUAAUGUCUAUUUUCAUAGCACAAGAUCCCAUGCCACAACACUUCUGUCUUUUAAGGUUGUGCAUCAUUUCAAAGGACACUAAAAUAUUAUCAGUAAUAGCUCUACCCGGUAUGAAUGCAAAUUGAUAUUCAGAAAUGACUUUUGGAAACACAAUUUUCAAACGAUUAGCUAAAACUUUAGACACUAUUUUGUAAAGAACAUUACACAAUGCUAUGGGUCUAAAGUCUUUAGCCUCUUUAGGGUCAACAAUUUUAGGAAUUAACACAAUAAGAGUAUCUGACAAUGAAUUAGGAAAAAUACCUGCUUGUAGCCAAUCAUUGCAAGCUUUCACAAUAUCAGUGCCAAUAAUGUCCCAUGAUUUUUGAUAAAAUGCAGGAUUAAGUCCGUCAAGGCCAGGUGCCUUAUCCGGGUGCAUGUGAAAAAUAGCCAACCUAACCCCCUCCUCCGAAACAAUCCCUGUGAGCCAAUCAUUGUCAUCCUCACUCACUUUCCUAGAAAGUAAAGAAGUGAGGUAUGAAACUUCUUCUGGAUGUUGACUUGCAAUUGAAAAGAUGUCACCAAAAUAGUUCUAUAUUGAUCUUUUAAUGCAAGAGAUAUUAGUUGACCAAUUACCAUUCUCAUCAUGUAACCCUACUAUUGUAUUUUUCCUGCGUCUUGCUUUGGUUUUUGCGUGGAAGAAUCUGUUGUUUCUAUCUCCUUGGGUCAGCCAAAAUUGUUUAGCAAUUUGCUUCUUUCUAACUUCCUCCUCGGCUAGGAGAGCUGAUAACUUGUCCUUCAAGGCUUGGUUACAAUUUUCAGGAUCCACCUCCCUAUACAUUUCUAAUUUUCGAGUAAUACUCUUUUUUUGCUGCCAAAACUCUUUAUUUCUGCUCCUUCCCCAAACCUGUAAGACAUCAAUGCACUGAUCUUGCUUCUUCAAAAUGCACAUGUCUCUAUCGCCACCCAAGUCGAGGCGACCACUUCUCGAAUACCCGAAUCACAGAGCCAAGCGUUAUAAAAUUUAAAUGCUUUAGAUUUUGUCGUAGUAGCUACUGAUGUAUGAAUAAUGAUUGGGUCGUGAUCAGAUGUUGGUGAGAUAAGUGUAUUAACUUUUGCAUCCCUAAAAUGGUCGAACCAAUUCUUGUCUGCCAUGGCUCGGUCAUGUUUCUCUCUCGUGUAAACUUUUCCGAACUGUUUCAUGGCCCAUGUAAACCUGUAUCCAGCUGACAGGAGAUCAGUCAAGCCACAAUCAUCAAUUGCCUCUCGGAAGCCAUCAAUAAGAGCUUGUGGGAAAGAACAACCCUCCCACUUUUCAGAGUGUGUGGCCAAAUCGUUAAAGUCUUCUAAUAUAAGCCAAGGUUUGUUGCAACAACCCCUCAAAGCUCUAAGAAGAUUCCAGGCAGCACGUCUUCUGCUUCUAUCAGCUACCCCAUAAUAUCCCGUUAGUCUCUAUGAAUAAUCUCCUUCUUUAAUCCACGCAUCAAUACAAUGUUGCGAGAAACCUUGAACAUCAAGUAUGGUUUCAUUAUUCCAGAAAAGACCUAAAUCAACGCUCCUACCAUUGCAAUCAACCCCAAAACAGUUAUCAUAACCCAUACUCUUACACACCUCCUCAAGUCUUUGUUUAUGAACUAAAGUUUCAAUUAAAAAAACCACUACAGGCUUAUUACUCAAAGUAAAAUCUUUGAGUGCUUGAACUAUUCGGGGAUUGCCCAAACCCCUACAGUUCCAACUUAGGAGUCUUAUUGUGCAUGGCCAUCCCGCUUAACGGGAUUGCAUGUAGUUUUGUGUGGUCCGUUGUUGUCCACAAUUCUGCUUCCUAUUGAAUCCUUUGUCAAAGAAACUUCAGGAGCUGGGUUUUUGCUAGUACUUCUUGGUCUUUUUUUUGGGUCAUCUUGUGUCUCAAAACCUGUAUCCUCUUCUUGGCCCAACUGGGCCUCAUGGGCCAUAUUAUAGUUUUCCAAGUCCAUUCUGGAAGUUGACUCAGAUGAACUACCAUCAUCACAAUUCAAACCCAAUCCAUAAAAAGAAAAGCGAAAAUCUCGUGCUUUAUUUGUGUCCUUUUUUUCUCCAUCAGUUACCUUCGGAUCCGCUGCACCUCCGAAAUUUGCGUUAUGCCCGUACUGGCGUAACCAUGGACUAUCGUGCUGUUUUCGCCGCCGUCUCGUCAGAGCCCGUAAGCUUUCAUCCCAUCUAAAAACAAUUUCUUCCUGUUUAAGAUGUAGUCGCAGAUCACAAAAGGCUUCAGAGUGACCAAGUCGUCCACAGAGGAAGCAAAACGUACUCAGUUUUUCAUACUGGAAUUUGACAUAGAACACCAUACCAGACUUGUCAUUCAGCCUCUUCUUUCUCUUUAAUGGUUGACGUAUGUCUAGUCGAACUCUCAUCCUCAUAAAGUCAUCUGCAUCAGAACUACUUGCUUCCCCGUCAUAUUCCAAGAAAGACCCAACAAAAUCUCCUAACAUUUUUGCUAUCCCCUCAUUCAUAUAACCAUUGGGUAAAUCUGCCACUAAAACCCAGAAAUCAACAUGUAAGAGUGGCAUAUGCAUAGGUAUCUCUCCUGGAUCAAUUGGUUUCCAAACCAAAAGGUGUCGAUUAAAGCUCCAAGGGGAUCCACCCAUGACCCUAGCAAAAUCCACUUGAUUAAAGAAACGAAACAGGAACCGUUUUCCACCCAGAUAUGAUAUAUCUAUGCCUCCCAACGAGUGCCAAACAUCUGCCAAUGUGUUCCUCAUAGCUUGAAAAUUAAUGAUAUUAUAAGUGAGAAACAUACCCACAAAGCAAAAUUCAUACGGGGUAGUUUUGAUCCCAGGUGGAGUGUCGAUCUCGAGACAAUCAUCUUCAUCAUCUGAUAUAGACAAAUGGUUAAAGUGUUGUUCCAUAACAAAGCUAAUUAAAGACAAAAGAAAAGGGACAGAUCUAGAUUUUAAUCAUGAGAUAAGGAAGGGGGACGAGAAGGGAGGGACAAAUGGUAAAGUUUUGUUUCAUAACAAAAGCUAAUUAAAAGACAAAAGUAAAGAGACGGAUCUAGGUUGUAAUGAUGAGAUAAGGAAGGGGGAAGAGAAGGAAGGGACUGUUAAGAGACAGAGAAAGGCAUGCACAAGGCAGAGAAAAUAAGGAAAAUGAUGAUGCUAGCAAAUAAUAAAUUGGAUCAAAAUUUAGGAACUUUAGCAGUACUGUGCCUUAAAAUAAACUAAGCUUCCUUAAAAUCAACAUUUGCCCGUUAUAUGCAUAUUAAAAGCCCGUCUUUUAUUUUAGUCCCAUUUCACAACCAAACCCCAUAUCACUCAACAUUAGAGAAUCGAAAGAUUUACAUCAUCGAGCACAUGAUUAAAAAUCAAGUGUUAACAGUGUCCAUGUAUUCAGGUUACUUUGUUAAUGGAUCAAUUUAAAAAACAUUAAAUAGAGAGAGUAUGUGUCAAAAGAUGAAACUGUAGUGGUCAGUCAAACAAUUUUUGUGGAAGGUUGCUUGAGAUUCUAGAGUUGGAAUAUCAAGUUAUGCGAAUAAAACAGAUAAUAUUAUUUAAUUGUGAAUGGUUCGGUCCAAUGCCCAACGUUGGAAUGAAAGUUCAUCCAAAAUAUAAUAUAAUAGAAGUUAAAAUAGAAAAAGAUACACAAAGUAUGAACCAUUCUUUUUGGCAAUGCAAGCAACUUAAAGCGUACUAUAUUCCUUAUCCAUUAAUGAAUUGAGAUGGAUUGGAUUGGAUUGGAUGGCGGUGUGCAAGAUCAAAGCUAGAUUAAUUGUAGUAUAAGUCCAAACUAAACAAUUUACCUUAACCUCAAUGUUUGAGCUAUUUCAAGUCGAUGAGAUUGAACCGAUAGAAAUAGUUGAAGAUUUAAGAGAAAGAUUGGAUAAUGAGGAUGAGAUAUAUGUUGAUAUUGGUAUGUCAAAUGAAGAUAAUGAAGUGUAGCCCAGGUUUUAGGUACUUUAGAAAAAGAAGGAGACGAAGAAGACGAAGUAGAAUGGGAUAGAGAAUCUUAAAAUAGUUAGUUUAUGUUAAACUUAACGAAAUUAUGUUGACCUUAAAAUAGUUAGUUUUUGUUCAGCUUCGGGUGCCAAGGCUAGUAUUCAGAACAUGAAAUUCUAUUGCUCUCGGAAUGCUUCAGCUGAGUUAAUGGGUACUUCUGAAUUGUGCAAGUUGUUUUGAGCGUGUUGCUAACUUAGGUCGCUAUUUGGGGUUCCGCUAAUCCAUGGUCGAGUCACUAAAUCUAUGUGUCAAUUUCCUAUUGAUAAGGUUCCCACUAGACUGAGUGGAUGGAAGGCUUCCCAAUUCAGUUUUGCGGGUCGAUUUACUUUAAUUCAAUACGUUCUCUCUGCUUACCUUCUUACGUGAUGCAAUCGGCUGCUUUGCCUAUCUCUAUUUGUCAUAACCUAGAUGCUUUAGCUAGACAAUUUUUAUGGGGAAGAGAUGGCAAUGUAUGUAAGAUUCACUUAGUAAACUGGAAGAUGGUGUGUCAGCCAAAAUCCAAAGGAGGCAUUGGUUUACGUCAGGCUGCAGUUGUAACCAAGGCUUUUUUUGCUAAAAUUGGCUUGGCUUUGCAGAGAUUUUAAUUCUUUGUGGGUUCGGGUUCUUUUGGCUAAAUAUUUAAAAGAAGCUGUAGUUGAUUGGAGAGAAGCUAAAGGUGUUGGUGGUUUAUCCCUAUAACGCGGUAUCAUUUUUCUUUUUCCUGAUUGAAAUUUAGCCUUGGAUUGGUCUUUGGGUACCGAUUCCUAGGUGAGAUGUUGUCUUGAUCAUUGGCUUCCAGAGUUUGGUCCCCUUAUUACUGAAGCUUUGGUUGAUAUUGAUGCGUCCUGAAGGCAUCAGUUCAUCAAUGAAAUUAGUACCAAUGGGAGGUGGGAUAUGGAUUGGCUUCAUACGGUUUUGCCUGAAGAAAUUAUCCAGAAAAUCAUAGCUAUCUGCCCUCCUUCUUCUCAUGGAAUUGAGGAUGACGUGAUUUGGAAUUCCCAACUUCUGUAAAUUUGCCAUAUCCUCGGCUGUUGACUUGCUUAUGGAGGCAGAUGAUGUUCAUGGCUUAAUUAAGGCCAGAUUUAAAUUGGAAUAGCAUGUGGAAGCGGUGCGGCCCCCAAUGAGUUUAAACUGCUCUAUGGUUGGCAGGCCAUGGUCGGUUAUUGACCAAUGUUCAACAUAAGCGACGUAAGCUUUGUGAUAGGGAGUGUUGUUGUAGCUGCGGAGUCCUGGAAACAUUCUCCGCGCUUUGCGUGACUGUCCUAUGGUUCUUUAAGUCUGGAAAACUCUCGUUCCUCGGCCAUUGCAGGACCAUUUUUUUUCGUUUCUAAUCUUUGUUUUUAGCUAAAUGUCAACUUGGCUUCUUGGUUAGCUAUUGACAGAAAUAUUCCUUGGUCUAUUAUCUUCGGUUUGAUGGUUUGGCAGGCUUGUAGGAAUGCUGUUAUUUUUGCCUCAGACAUGGUUUAUUCUUUUUCUGCCCUUGCUAUUCUUUCUUUGGCUUGCUCAGUGUACAUAGCAAAUAAAGAACAAAUCUGUCUCCCUAAUGCUCCUUCACACCAUGUUGUUGUUUCUUAGGUUAAACAUCUGCAUGGGUGGGCCAAGGUCAAUGUAGAUGGUGUUGUGAGUUUCAGUUCCAACUGAAGUGCUGUUGGUUGCCUCAUAAGAGAUGACAUGGGUUUCUAGAAAGUGGGCUUUUCUACUGCUAUUAGCUUUUAUGCUCCUCUUGUGGUUGGGUUAUGGGCUAUUUGGUAUGGUCUUCAUCUAGCUUAGACCAAUGGCAAUUGCAAGGUCUAGUUGACAUCGGAUUCCAAGUUAGCUGUAUAUAUUGUUAUUAAUAGUCGGCCUUGGUAUUGUAAUUUUUAGUCUUUAGUUUGGAACAUCAAGGAGAUUUUGGCCAAUGAUUUGAAUAUUCAUAUUUCACACUCCAUCUGUCAAACCAAUAGUUGUGCUGACUGGUUAGCCAAAUUUAGUUUAGAAAGCCAUUCUCUUUAUUCUUUUUCUAGGUUACCAGACUUCCUUGUUCGUUACUGUUGAGCAACGAGGUGUUACUACCUCUAUUACGUAACUUUUCUUAAGCUUUGCUUCCUUCUAUUAAAAAAAAAAACCUAAAUUCAUUUAUUUAAAUAAUUUUUAAUUACCAUAAACUCGAAACCUAAACAUCUACGGUUAGUUUGGGUUUUUACAAAAUACAGUGUCCUAUAAAGCUAAAGUAAUUCCAAACUCCACAUCUUUGACCUUGAAAUGAUGACUUAAAUGGUAUUACCAAAUAGAACCAACUAAUUAAUCACAAACAACAUAUAUAUUGCUCCUAACAAUUAUUUAAAUUCAAGAAAUAUAUUUUUGAAAUAAUUAUUUAAAAAUACUUUCCAAGAAAAUAUUACCUUGAGACUUUUAGACAGUGAAGUUGAGGGUUGACCAUGAUGUAAAGAGUAGUGAGUCAAGCCAUAGAUGACAUAGCCCAACAAAGUACCUCCAAACACAGCAGGAGCAGUUAGGGGGUGCCUGUAAAAUGAAACAAGUGCCAGAACUACAGGAAGGAAUACAUAGUAACUAAAUUUUGUUAUCAAUUAUAUAUAUAUAUAUAUAUAUAUAUAUAUGGAGAGAGAGAGAGAGAGAUGGAAAAAUGUAUGUAGAAUGCAUGUAUAUACGAGCAGAGAGAAGAGUCGUUGCGAAAAGAGGCACGACAAGCCGAAAAUGAUCCAUUGGAUGCUUGUGAUGCAACCCAUCAAGAAGAUAUUGCAUGAUGUUUGCCCUAAAUUAACCAAAUACAUUUUAAUUGGUCCAAUCAGUAUCUUAUAUUUUAAGCUUCAAUAUUAUUUAUGGAAAAUAACUUUUCUUUGAAAAAUACUCUCUAAAUAAUUAUUUUUGAUUGUUUGGUUGCCACAUUGAAAGUUAUUUUAAAAAUACUAAGAUUUUUAACUUGUAGGACCAUAAAAAUAAUUUAGAAUUAUAAAAUUCUUUAUUUUAAAAGUUUAUUGUUAAAAUGUAGAAAUGCAUAAAAUGAUAAAUUGUUAGGCACCAUUGAUCGCUAGUGGUGGCCGACGGUGGUUGAUGGCCAGUUGUGGUUGCCGGUGAUUAAUAAAUUAAAAUGUGUGUAUUUAUGAGGAUAUAAUAAAUUUGUCAAUAUCCGUAAAAUUUUUUUCUCUCUUAAAAGUUAAGAAAUUAUUUUUCUUAAAAAUGAGUUAGUUUUCUUUUGACUAGAAAAAUAUUUUUCCAUUGACUGAUUUUUCUAAGCAUUCCAAAUGUCAAAAAAUCUAAAAAAUAUUUUGCCAACAAGUUUUUUUCCAAAAACAAAUGGAGCCUUGUACUAUGUAGUUUUUCUUUCUUUUUUUUUUUCUUUGAAACAGUUAUGCAUUGAUCAUAUUAAGAAAUAAGAGAAGCUUACCACUAAGUUUUAGUUUUGAUCAUAUUUUGAUUUUUACUGAUUAAUGAAUUGAUUUAAUUUAAGAGAAAUAUCCAUAUCAAACUUUUUCAAACUCUUCUAAAUUGAAGUUUAAAAUCUAUAGUAGAUUUACAAAACAUGUAUCUAUUUGUUUCUGGAAAAUAACUUACAGCAAGGAAAAUGUUUUCCUUGAAAAUAUUUUUCAAAUAACUUUUUUUCCGUUGUUUAGUUACAAUUUGCAAAUUAGUUAAAAGAUAUUAAAAUUUUUAACUUAUAAGACCAUAAAAAUAAAAAUACUAAUAAUAUAAAUUUCAUACUUUAAAAAUUUUAUUAUUAAAUAUGAGAAUAAUGCAAAAAAAAGGUAAAUUAUGAAAGUUGCCGGUGACAGUGGUGGUAGCUGGCGAUGGUCGAUGGUGGCUGGUGACCGGUGGUGGUAAACGGUGAGUUGUAGUAGUGGUUAUCCAUCAUUAAUAAAUUAACAAAAUAUGAAUUUAUAAGGUUAUAAUAAAUUUAUUAAAAUCCGGAAAAUGUUUUACGCUCUUGAAGAUUAGAAGUCAUUUUCGUUAAAAAUGACUUAAUUUUCCUUUGACCAAAAAAAUAUUUUCCGCUAACUUAUUUUCCUAAACGCGAAACAAUGAAAAAUUAUAAAAAGCAUUUUCUUGCGAGUUAUUUUACAGAAAUAAACGGAAUGGUAGAAUUUUAGUCUGUCCAACAUAUGUAAUAAUACAAUAAUCAAAGUUAAUUUUAAAUAUUCAAAUUAGUUCAUGGAACUCAAAAUUAUACACGAAACUAAUAAUAAAUUCUGUUUGGAAAGAAAACGUUAGGAUUAGACUUAUUGGCUGUAUGAACUGAAUUUAGGUAAAUCUUUAGUGAAUAAGCCCGAAAGGGUCUCCUAAAUUACAAUGUCAGAACUUAUCAUCAAGGGAAACCAGGGGUAGGCAAGAAAUUGACUAGAAUCAAACCCACUCUCUCUAUAAAAAAGAAACUCAGAUAGCUCCACUUCCACAAAACACAAAACCAGCAAAAUGGCUUCUUCAAUCUCUUAUUCAAUACUUAUCUUUUUCCUUCUGCUCUCACCUUCUUGCAUUCUUUCAGGUCCAAUUGUCGACUCUUUUCUCCAAUGUCUGACACUCAAUUCCGAAGUCUCAAUUCCUUUUUCUACUUCAUUUUACACACCAAACAAUUCGUCGUUCUCUGAAGUCUUACAAUACACCGCCCAGAACCUCCGUUUCUUAUUACCCUCCGUUCCUAAACCCCUAUUCAUCUUCAUCCCGUCACACGAAAACCAUAUCCAAGCCUCUGUUAUCUGUUCGAAACAGUUGGGUAUCCAUCUUAGAGUCCGUAGUGGCGGCAAUGAUGUGGAAGGUUUAUCUUACACAACAGAAAUCGACAAUCCCUUCUUUAUUAUAGAUAUGUCAGCACUCCGUUCUGUUGACGUUAAUAUUGACGAUAACAGUGCAUGGGUUCAAACCGGCGCAACCCUCGGAGAACUGUAUUACAGAAUUGCAGAAAAAAGCGAAACCCACGGCUUUCCGGCAGUUCUUUUGAGCACUAUAGGGGUCGGGGGUCACAUUACCGCCGGCGCGUAUGGUGCAAUGGUACGAAAGUAUGGUCUUGCUGCCGAUAAUGUUAUUGAUGCUCAUAUUAUUGAUGUUCAUGGCCGACUGCUUGAGCGUGAAGCUAUGGGCGACGAUCUUUUCUGGGCAAUUAGAGGUGGCGCUGGGGGUAGUUUUGGAAUUAUUGUUUCUUGGAAACUAAAGUUAGUUCAGGUUCCUUCUACUGUUACAGCUUUUACAGUUAAAAAAACUUUAGAACAAAAUGGUACUAAAAUUCUUCAACGGUGGACUGAAGUGGCUGACAAGCUUGACGAUGAUCUUUUCCUUAGAGUUGCAAUCUCACCUGCUAAUAUUGGUAAUAGUACCGUUCGAACCGUAUCAAGUGCUUAUCAUGGUUUGUUUCUUGGCGAUGUAAACAGACUUCUCAAUAUUAUGGAAAAUAGUUUUUCUGAAUUGGGUUUAACCAGAAAUGAUUGUGCAGAGAUGAGUUGGCUCAAAUCGGUUUUAUAUACGACGGGUUACCCACCUAAUACUACGCCUGAAGUUUUACUGCAGGGUAAACCUUUAUUUAAAGAUUACUCAAAAGUAAAAACAGAUUUUGUUAAAGAACCCAUUCCUGAAGCCGCAUUGGAAGGUCUUUCGAAAAUACUCUUGGAAGACGAAACACCAGUUGUAACAUUGAUUCCUUUUGGAGGGAAGAUGAACGAGAUUUCAGAAUCUGAAAUUCCAUUUCCUCACAGAAAGGGGACUUUGUUCACGAUUUAUUAUGCAUCUCAAUGGGUAGAUGGACAAAAGAGUGAAGCAAGGCACAUUGAUUGGAUAAGAAAGCUUUAUAAUUACAUGCAGCCUUUCGUUACUAAUAAUCCAAGAAGUGCUUAUGCUGGUUUCAGAGAUCUUGAUUUGGGUAUAAACAACAAGAAUAAUUUUAGCGUUACAGAAGCUAGCGUUUGGGGUAUUAAGUAUUUUAAAGAUAAUUUUAAUAGAUUGGUUCAAGUGAAGACCAAGGUUGAUCCAGAUAACUUUUUUAGGCAUGAACAGAGUAUUCCACCUCUUCGUGUUUCUUAGACAAGAAAAGGAAAGCCAAGAGGUGGACUUCAGGACCAGGAUUAUGUACUGUUUGGGUUUAAGUGAAAGAGGAAUAACAAUUU